UCUCAAUAUUAGAUAUAGAGCAUUUUCGAGCUAUAAAAUAUGAUCCGCCGAAAUUAGCAAUUGCAUAACAUUACCCUGCUUAUUUGUAUAUUACACUUUUUUUUUCAUUGCAACAUUUUUAUUGUAAUCUAAGGCGAGCGAACGUUGGAAAGCUUCUUAUAAAAUUACCGAGGACCCUAAGUACAUAACAAUGGCGAGGCGGCUUAAAAGUUCAAUACUGCUUGGUACAAGUUUGCACUAACGUUUGCGUGGUGUUAUCUUGGUUUGCGGAAUCUGUAUAAAACAAAUAAAACAUUAAACAUACGUAUGGUUAUGGGCUAUCCUCAAUUUUUUUUACUGCGUGCGUGUGUGUGCUAAGUUUUUUCUUGAUUAUAAAAAAAUGACGGUGAUAAACCCUAUUACUGUGAAAACGCGUUUCUCAGCAUCCAUUUAAUUUUUUUGCUGCAGCUUUUAUGUGUGAGAAAAAUUAAAAACACCGUACUUAUAAUUUGUUACCUGAAGAUGAUUAACAAUCGAAACAUGUCGUAACAUUUCACAAUUAUAUCUGUUCGUCAACAAUUAAAAUUUCCAUGGGGAAGGUUUUGAGGAAUUGAGUCGUUUAUUUCCUGUAUGGUUCAUCACCCCAUUUAGAGCAUGGAUCAACCACGAGUUUUUUCUGAAAGUAUUCGUCACAAAAUUUAAUUUAUAUUAGUUAAUUUAUAUAAAUUAAUUGAUUGUUUAAUUGAUUAGUGGCGUGCCAUUUGCAAUAAAUGACAAUACUAAUUUAUAGAUCAAGAAGAGAGGAAGUUAAUUAUUAAAAAAAAAGAAAAAAAUAUUUUUAGAGAAAGAUUAUCUCUAGAAAUGAAGACUUCUCAAGACAUUUUUCUAGGAAGGAUAAAAAUGGCCAUAUCCAGCUACAAAAUUUCCUUAUCGUAGAAGCAUAAUGAACAGUAACAUUAAGCCUGCAUAUACGACUAGUAGAGACACCCUGGAAGUAAAAAUUUUAACCCCACUGACGACCUUUCGUGGUUGGAUAUAAACCUCAAAGUAACCUCAACUCAAUUGAUCAGUGUAUAAUGAAGUGUGGUGAGCCUAGGUCAAUAUAUUACCACCUCCACCUUUUCAAUUAGGACUAACUGUUCAAUUACAUCAUCAUUUUCGUUCAAGAUAACUAAUAGUAAUAGACAGUACAAAUGGUAAUUAUGAUGAAUUGUGAAAAACAGCCAAUUCAUGUUAAUUUUUGUUUAAUAAUUUGCCAUUUUAUUUACCUGUAUACAAAAAUAAAAGAAUAAAAAAUAACCGUAGA